AUUGAACGCUGGCGGCAGGCCUAACACAUGCAAGUCGAGCGAGCGGCGGACGGGUGAGUAAUGUCUGUGAAACUGCCUGAUGGAGGGGGAUAACUACUGGAAACGGUAGCUAAUACAGCAUACCAUCAGAUGUGCCCAGAUGGGAUUAGCUAGUGGGUGGGGUAACGGCUCACCUAGGCGACGAUCCCUAGCUGGUCUGGGAGGAUGACCAGCCACACUGGAACUGAGACACGGUCCAGACUCCUACGUGAGGCAGCAGGGGGGAAUAUUGGACAAUGGGCGCAAGCCUGAUGCAGCCAUGCCGCGUGUGUGAAGAAGGUCUUCGGGUUGUAAAGCACUUUCAGCGGGGAGGCGUUACCCGCAGAAGAAGCACCGGCUAACUCCGUGCCAGCAGCCGCGGUAAUUC
rnacentral:rRNA from 1 species